AAACAAAGUCCUUGGCUAUGGUUGCAGAGGUUAGAACUAUUUUGUGGCUAAACAAAAACAAUGUCUCCCAACUUCCCACCAGCUGGGAUUCCAUGACUCAAGAGAUUUGACUUACACGAAUCAAAGACUUAACCAAACAAAGAGAUUUGUGGUCCACAAAACAAACAGGAGAGUUAGACUCACCCACCAUUGCUUUCUAUGACAAGCUGUUCUCUGACACCGGCCAAUCUAAAAUAGUUUGAAGUGACGCUCUGGCCAAUUCUUCAUCUUACGGAUGAGGUAAAUGAGACCCAGAGAGAUUGGAGAUUGAAGCCUUUGCCUCCUGCCUUUUACCCACUAAUUGCUGGACCAUUGCCCUGCUUCAAGUAUGUUCUCCUGACCUCUUUAAGGACACUGGGCCAGACUCUGCCUAGCUUUAUUCAGUCAUGGCAAAGUGACCAGCCUUGCCCAGCACACUCCCUGUUCUGACUUCUGCCACACCACAGCAAUGGAGCCCCACGGGCAGAAGCUCUAGAAACUGAUCCAACUAAAAUCUGCUCACUCGUGUUUAUCUAAGGGACUCUGUUUGAUUGAUGAAAAAUUAAUCCAGCUGUAAAUCCCAUAGUCAAAUAAACCUGGCACAUAUAGACAGACUGCCUUUCAAUUCCUGUA